UACGAAGGGGGCUAGCGUUGCUCGGAAUCACUGGGCGUAAAGCGCACGUAGGCGGCUUUCUAAGUCAGGGGUGAAAUCCUGGAGCUCAACUCCAGAACUGCCUUUGAUACUGGGGAGCUCGAGUCCGGAAGAGGUGAGUGGAACGUCCGAAGUGUAGAGGUGAAAUUCGUAGAUAUUCGCAAGAACACCAGUGGCGAAGGCGGCUCACUGGCCCGAUACUGACGCUGAGGCACGAAAGCGUGGGGAGCAAACGGGGAUUAAGAUGACCCUGGUAGUCCCA
rnacentral:rRNA from 1 species